CAACUUUGGGCUAAGGGAGAGGGAGCCCAUUGAUUUACUAGGGAUUGGGAUAGCCGAAGAACCUGGACUCCGCAGCUGACUGCCCGGCGAAUUGUGCGGAUCGGAGCUCACCGGCGGUGGGGAUCGAAACGGUGAAUGCGAAUCGGCCGAAGCAGAUUGUCUCCACUCAAUUCUGCGGAUAGGGUAGCCCAGAAAUAGGCGAUUCCUGAUUUGCAGAGCACACAUUUGAGGACAGUAUCUUCCAACCCCGAACCUGACUUGCAAGGUCUUGACUUCGAUUCCCGUUAGGAGCAAUCCCUUGUAGUCAGUGCACUGGAUUUUGACCCAAUUCAUCUUGUAAAGUCGAAAACUUAUGUGGACGAGAGCCUGAUGGCCCGAUUACAUAUCCAUAUCAGAUGUCCAAUUGUAUGGUAUGAUUCUCGGUUAACAAAACAACAAUGAUCUUAAUUGUAUAGGCUUGUCAAUACUUGUGGAAAGAUAUUUUAUUGUAGCCUGUGGGUCA